GAGGAGACUCUGGUCUCAAGUCUGUGUUCAGUAUUAUUACUGUUCGUGUGAAUCAUCACGGUCAUUAGCGUUUUUCUUCAGUGCAUCUGGCUCAGGGUGUUUCCAAGACACCAUCUUACAAGGAACCCGGCGUCACUCAGCCGCCGCAGCCUCGGGAGGACCUGUUCGGAUUAACAGCGAGGAGGAGAAUGGGCGCUCGGAGGUACCCGUCUGGAUGCGCUGGCUCAAGCCGGAGGCGCCGGGUAGUGCCCCUCCCUCGUCCCUCUCCUACACUGACGUCGCCUGCGACGGUGACUUGCGUUCGGAUAUGUCGUUGUUGUUUCAAUCGCUGAGUCGUGUCCUACUCUUGGUGACCCCACGGACUGUGGCCCGCUAGGCUCCUCUCUGUCCAUGGGAUUUCCCAGGCAAGAAAUACUGCGUCGUCAUGUAUGGAUGUGAGCGCUGAACCAUAAAGAAGACUGAGCACCAGAGAAUUGAUGCCUUUGCAUCGUGGUGCUGGAGAAGACUCUUCGAGAGUCCCUUGGACUGCAAGGAGAUCAAAUCAGUCCAUCCUAAAGAAAAUCAACCCUGAAUAUUCUUUGGAAGGACUGCUGCUAUAGCUGAAACUCCAAUACUUUGGCCACCUGAUGCAAAGAGCUGACUCAUUGGAAAAGACCCUGAUGCUGGGAAAAAUUGAAGGCAAAAGGAGAAGAGGGCAGCAGAGGAUGAGAUGGUUAGAUAGCAUCACUGUCUCAAUGGACGUGAAUCUGAGCAAACUCUGGAGAUAGUGGACAGGAGAGACUGGUGUGCUGCAGUCCGUGGGGUUGAAAAAAGUCGGACACAACUUAGCAACUGGACAAUCACAAGAACAUGUCAGGAUAAGACACUGACAUUUUAAGAGAUCGGAAGACUUUGGAGGGUUUUGAGCCAAUGUGAUCAGAUUUGUGUUUUAACAGAAUCACCUGGAAGCUUAUAUAACUAAGCAAUUAUGAACAUAUUUCCUUAUUCUUUUCUUAUGUAUAUAAGGAAUUUAUUUUGUAUAUGUGUGUAUUUCCUUAUAUACAUAUGCAAAUAUCAUAUAUAUUCCUUAUACAUAAUUUCCUUAUUCUUUCCUCCCACAUUGAAAAGAAU